rnacentral:lncRNA from 1 species
CUCUACAUGCAGAACUGACAGAAAUGUGGCUCCCAUGACUAGUGCACGUGCAGAGGGAAGGCUGGGAUGGACAGAGGGAGGAAAGGCCAUGGCUGCAGUAACCACUCUUAUCCAAGCUCUGCUGGCCAGAAGCAUCAUCCAGUCUGGCCUGAAGCAGCAGCACCAGAUCGAUGGAGCCACAGCCAAACAUGCUGGAGCACGAGAUGUUUCUGCACCAGGAGCUGGUUAAUCUGCUGCAGGAGAUUGAGAGCCGCAAUGGUGCAGAGAAAGCCACGAUCCCUUCUGUGUGGGUGUUUGGGAUCACUGCAGCAGCCCCGAUCCUGCUUGCUGUGGUCUGCUGUCUGGCCAGGCAAAGCAAGUUUCAGGAGUCUCCUCAGUUGCUUACAGUCUGCUGUCCUGAUCUUCCAGCAGACAUCUCUGAGAUCGAAAUCAGCUUAACAGUUUAUGAGGACAAUGGUCCAUGUGCAACACCUCGCACUCGGAUUUGUAAGCCCGCUUCUUAAGUUUGCCUGGGUCUAUCUGAAUGGCAUCCCUUCUAUAGCAGUCGUAUUAAAAUUUGGGAGAGCAAGCACUGCUGUGUUGGUUUUGGCCUGGUAUUCAAAGCAGAAUCACAGCCGGUCUCACCAGCCCUCCUGCCAGCCACCACUGUGGCUGUGCUGGUGACUUCUGCUGCAGUAGUUUUCCAUUGAGGUUGGGUAUUUUCCAGAAAGUGAGGCAGAAACACUGACAUCUUCCAGGACCCCCCCUAGUCAUCAGCUGGUACAGCUGACUCAUUUUCAUCUUGUUUUGUGGGCUGUGCCUGCCUGUGUGCCUCUUCCUCUCUGCCCACCCCUGCAUCUCAUGCCAGCACAGCAGCUGCCUUGCCUCCCUGCACAUGUGAGUGCUGCCAGCAUUGCCAGUGCCCCAGAGUGGCUCUGACCACUUGUGUGGCAUGGCCAUGCAGAAGCUUGCUCUAUCCCCCAUGCCAGUUCCAUCUUCAGAAACCUUGACAGUCCCUCCUCUCCCAGAGUUUCUCACCUGGCCUCUCUGCAUCUUCUAACUUGGCCUAUCAGGGUCCUCUGCACUCAACGAGGUGCCCACAGCUGCCACAGUCCUUUGGGCAGCUCCCCUGCCCUUUGCAAACACUUUUGGAUGCUUAGUUGCAACAUGCCUUUGGUGUAGCAUCCUCCCCCCUCCCCACUGGACUUGUGUGCACAGCAAGGAAGCCCCCCACUGCGGGUGGCAGUUCAUCUGGCUCCUGAUGUGGUGGCCAGCAACACUGCGUAGGGGACAAAUUUGUAACCAAGGUUCUGAGAAAGUAUUUACAAGCUGUGUCGUGCAGUGUCGGCUGCCCUUUCUCUGUGAGGGAGGGGUGUAAUGUUACUCCUAUUUUAAACAGCCAUAAUUGCUCACCCUGCAUUUUUCUGAAAUUG